rnacentral:rRNA from 1 species
CAAUAGCGUAUAUUAAAGUUGUUGCAGUUAAAAAGCUCGUAGUUGGAUUUCUGGAUCCAGUUUCCGGUCCGCCGAAAGGUGUGCACUGUAGAUUGGUUCCUUUCCUCCCGACGUCGCCUGGUGCUAUUAACUUAGUGUCUUGUGACUCGGGACCUUUACUUUGAAAAAAUUAGAGUGUUCAAAGCAGGCCUUCGCUUGAAUACAUUAGCAUGGAAUAAUGGAAUAGGACUUGGGUUCUAUUUCGUUGGUUAUAGGACCGAAGUAAUGAUUAAUAGGGAUAGUUGGGGGCAUUAGUAUUUAAUUGUCAGAGGUGAAAUUCUUAGAUUUAUGAAAGACUAACUACUGCGAAAGCAUUUGCCAAGGAUGUUUUCAUUAA